rnacentral:rRNA from 1 species
UACAGAGGGUGCGAGCGUUGUCCGGAAUCACUGGGCGUAAAGGGCGCGUAGGCGGCUUGAUAAGCGUGCGGUGAAAGCCCGGGGCUCAACCCCGGAGGUGCGGCCGAGACUGCAGGGCUGGAGGCCGGAAGAGGAGGGUGGAAUACCCAGUGUAGAGGUGAAAUUCGUAGAUAUUGGGUGGAACACCGGUGGCGAAAGCGGCUCUCUGGUCCGGACCUGACGCUGAGGUGCGAAAGCGUGGGGAGCAAACAGG